AAUAAAUCAUAUCUGUGGCUCCCUGAAGCACAUGAAACCAAAUCAUGUAAAUGACAAUCACCUAAAUUGGUUUAUCACAAAGGUCUCUGGUAAAUAUUUUCUAAAGCAGUUUCUUUGACAUUAUUAAAUCUUAUUCCAUUUUAUAAUUAGGAUCUUUCUUAGAAUCAACUAGGUUGGAAAAGAUCUUUAAGGUCAUCAAGUCCAAAAAAAAGGAGCAAGCUCCAGCUUCAACUCCUAGUGACAAAAAGUCACUUAAUGCGAAGUCCUCUCAUCAUAUCAGACAUUAAACUGGACAUCUUGGCAUAUUUUCUGAAGUAAAGUUUCCUCCAUCCCAUUUGUGUAGCUGAGCAGCAACUGGGACAACUGGAAUUGGUGGCAGUUUCUCCCUCCAACUGGGACCAUCCUGAUC